CUUUCUCAGCAAAUCAAAUAUUUCCAACUCUCAACUUCAAUUCUUCCGUCAUUAAUUUUAGAUAGAUCAAAACCCCUCACCUGAUCCACCCUUUUUUGCAAGUGAGUGAGAGUGACUAUGGUGGGUGGCAAACUUUCCAACAUGGCUAUUCAGCUCCAAAACGAAACUCUUCCUUGUUCCUCUCAGGUUCUUCACUCUAUGGGCUCACACCUCUAACCUUGCUUCUUUUCCAGGGUACAAGACCAAACAUAUAGAAAAAGAAUAUAUGAGACAUUUGAAGCUACAACUGUGAUUUCGGUAUGGCUGGAAAAGGUAAGCAAAUACAAUCCACAUCAUCUACGGUGCCAAAUCAGUCAUCUCAUGAUUCAGUCAUUCAUGAACCAUCUGGUGUAGAGCUUGGUUCCUCAUCUGGUGUUCAAGGUCUGCCUCCUAGACCAAAAAGGGACUAUUGCACUGUUCAAGUUAGAAGUAUGUCAUUUAACUUAAUUUUCAUACAUUUCAUUCAAAUGUUGGUUUAUUAUUAGUUUUUCUAGUUGAUAAUGAAGGGGAGAUAAAAGAAGUCAGCAUGAAGGUAAGAGAGAUGGACUACCUUCCACGUGGAGAAACGGUUGUAAUUUCUUUUGUGGGAAUCGACCAAGCGCCAUAGAUGUCAAUGGGCUGUUGGGAGUUUUCUUGGGCCGAGUAGCCUCAAAUCAUAAAUUCAUACCCAUUUCCUUUGAAAGUUGGCCAGAAGUAUCGGGUACCAUUAAGGAUCAUAGAUUAUAGAUUAAAGGAGAAAACUAAGGAGAUGUGUCAAAAAAACGCUGAGAAUAGAGCAAAGCUUACAAUUAAUCAUAUUGGUGGCUCUAAAAAACUUAAGAGAAGGCGGGUAGAGAUAGAGAAAAUCGUUGAGAUAGAGAGUCAAGGAACUGCUCCCAAAAAAAUCUCACGCGUUGAUUGUCUUGGGCGCUUUGGGAAAAAAAGAACAUUCUGGGCGGGUAAUUAGAUGUGUGGGUGAUGGAGUUUUCCCAUCAGAAGUCUUUGGAGCUAGAUCACGUUUUUGUGGCACAUGUUCCGGUUCUUAUAAUGCGGCUAAACAAAGUCAUGUUGGACAACUUGAGAACGAAGUAAAAGAACUUAUGACCACGGUGACCGAGUUGACCAAGUUGGCCAAGUUGACCACAAAAGACGAUAAAGUGAAGAGGAUGAAGAUUCUUCUUGCUCAACUACUCAAGAAUGCGUCAAUGGCGGUACUUUCUGAUCUCAUAUUUGAACUUGAUGAUGAUCUCACCUUUUGGAGAAUGACAUUAAAUUGGGUGCCUCCACAAUCCCCUGUAUGUCUUCUUUAAGAGGCUCAUCCCAUGACCCUUGAUGGCAAUCUGUAUUCACUUGAACAAGUCUGCUGGUUUGAAGGCAAGAUCAGUAAUAUCAAACCUGUUUAUUAUAUGCCCUGAUGCAAGAGCUUGUACCCGAGCUUCAACAAAUACGCUAGAACAAGUCCUACAUGACAUAGGUUUCCAAUAACAGAAGGCAGCUCGACCACAAGGGUUUUCCCGGGAGUACUUGGGCAAAAACUAGACACACGUCACUCAUCUUCAUGGCAUUGACAAGUAUGCUGCAAACGCCUAUGCAAUAUUUUAUACUGGAAAAUGGCAGCGAGUGACACCCUGCCCUGCAGAUCGCUAUCUAAAUGAUUAUUGGAAAUUCCUCCAUAAUAUUAAGGAUACAUUGUGAUUUGUGAAGGACUUGGAGGAAGGGAAAUUCCACACGUUUUGUGAGUUGUCUGUUCUAUUACUUUUGUGUAUCUUUCUUGCCAGUUUACUUUACUUGAAAACAAUUAAAGUAGGAACUCAAGUAUUGAAAGCUAAGAUUCUGGAAUUGUCUUCUCUAACUACAACUUAUGAACAUGUUAGAAUAGAAUAUAUUUCAGGUGCUUCAGUUUGGUUGGUCCCUAAGUGCUGGACCAUCGUUGUCUAAUUAAGUACUACCCGAUAAUAAUGC